UUGGACGAGGGGCCCCUCUCGGGUUACCGAAUUCAGACAAACUCCGAAUGCCAAUUAAUUUAACUUGGGAGUCAGAACAUGGGUGAUAAGGUCCGUGUUCGAAAGGGAAACAGCCCAGACCACCAGCUAAGGUCCCAAAAUAUAUGUUAAGUGGAAAAGGAUGUGGCGUUGCCCAGACAACUAGGAUGUUGGCUUAGAAGCAGCCAUCAUUUAAAGAGUGCGUAAUAGCUCACUAGUCGAGUGACCCUGCGCCGAAAAUGUACCGGGGCUAAAACAAUUUACCGAAGCUGUGGAUACCUUUAUAGGUAUGGUAGGAGAGCGUUCUAUGUGUGAUGAAGGUGUACCGUGAGGAGUGCUGGAACGCAUAGAAGUGAGAAUGCCGGUAUGAGUAGCGAAAGACAGGUGAGAAUCCUGUCCACCGUAAGACUAAGGUUUCCAGGGGAAGGCUCGUCCGCCCUGGGUUAGUCGGGACCUAAGGAGAGACCGAAAGGUGUAUCCGAUGGACAACAGGUUGAUAUUCCUGUACUAGAGUAUGUAGUGAUGGAGGGACGCAGUAGGCUAACUAAAGCAGACGAUUGGAAGUGUCUGUCUAAGCAGUGAGGUGUGAUAUGAGUCAAAUGCUUAUAUCUAUAACAUUGAGCUGUGAUGGGGAGCGAAGUUUAGUAGCGAAGUUAGUGACGUCACACUGCCAAGAAAAGCUUCUAGCGUUUAAACAUACUCUACCCGUACCGCAAACCGACACAGGUGGGUGAGGAGAGUAUCCUAAGGCCAGCGAGAGAACUGUUGUUAAGGAACUCGGCAAAAUGACUCCGUAACUUCGGGAGAAGGAGUGCCAG
rnacentral:rRNA from 13 species